CGACAAUUCAAGAAUGUUAGAUUCUCGAAAAAAUGCUGGUGCUUGUCAACGAUCUCACUAGAUUACUGAACUAGAGCCUGCCCCCCACUUCGUCUUGCUCCGCCCCUCGGCAUCAAUGGCUUCCUACCCACUGAUCACCGUCCUCGGCGCCGUCGCCGUGCUGACUCUGGCCCGGGCGCCGGCGACGCAGUCCCUCCCUUUCGUGGUCUUCCACGGUGAGUUCGCGCCGUCCCAUUUGAUGCGUUCCGAACGUGUUCGUUAAUGCCCGUUUGACCAUUGUUUUUCCUGGUUGUGAAACCGUUGUGUUCUGUUAUUAGGCAAGUGGGGGUCGUUGC
rnacentral:lncRNA from 1 species